GGUGGGAGUAGCUGAGAUUUGAAAUGCCAGAAGCCUGCACAGGAAUUUUAGCUGAAAGGAGAUGAAAGGCCACAGUGUUGCACAGAGAUAGCAUGAAGACGGAGAUGAGCAGGAGAGAGAAGCAGAUGCAGAAGUCCUUGGAAAGCAGGGUCGGGGAAGAGGACCAUCUGCAAAAGGAAGUCUUGAGUAAGGAGGAGAAGACAGAGGGCCACCAAGCAAGGAAGAUGCCUUCAUGGGUGCCUGGCCAGUGAAGGACUCAGGCUCUUCCCCUUCAAAAAGCACAGGGAUGGAUACCUCAUCUGGACGAUGCCCUUGCUAAGCCAAAUAAAAGUGUGUCCCGGUCA